AAAUUAAAGAAAGAAAACAAUCGCCAACUCCAAAGGCGAAUCGACCCCCCACUCCCAAUCGCCGCAACCGCACCACCAGCGCUGCCCUGAUCGGCACCGAUGGCGGGCGAUCCGACCGGCGGCGGCGGCGGCUCCGCGGCGGGCAAGGGUCCCCGCUCGUCGACGCGGCACCAGCAGUUCCGCGACCGCGCCAAGACCCGCGUGGACGACCUCCAGGAGAUCUUCUCCGGCCUCCAGUCCGCCCGCAAGGAGAGCCGCUCCGCCGACGCCGCCGUCCUCGAGGAGCAGGUCCACCAGAUGCUCCGCGAGUGGCGCGCCGAGCUCAGCGUCGCCUCCCCCGCCUCCUCCCUGCAGAACUCGCUGGGGAACAACCAGGGUGCCGCGGAUCCGCCGUCGGAGACGCUGCGGCUGCUGCAGCUGGCGAUUGAGGAGGAGGACGACGCCACCAGCAAGCUGGCGCAGCCGAUGCAGCCCUCCCGGCAGGAUGGUCAUCAGAAUCUCAACCCCGGACUGCAAGUACAUGGGGGGACUGUGGAUGGCGGCGCCGACGCGUCACAGCAGUCAAUGGGUCAUGGAAUGCAGGGAGAAUUAGCCGAUGUUGCUAAUGCAUUGUUCAGUGAUCAGAUGUACUAUAUAGACCAUGAACUGAGUAUUGAUGAUUUUCUUCAUGGGUCAAACCCAGAUGGCCUCAAUAACCUGCAAGGGACUGGUCAGCCGGAACAUCAACAGUUCAAUCUGCCACUAGAUCUGCAACAUUCUAAUAAUUCAUAUGCUGAUGCAAAUAACUCUGUGCAAAGUACUGGAGAUGUUUUUUUCCACAUGUCAGACUUGCUCACAACAGUCGGCCCGUCGCCUUCUCAAUAUUUGGGGCCAAAAUGUGCACUCUGGGAUUGUGGUCGACCUGUGCGAGGAUCAGAAGAGUGUCAAGACUACUGCAACCCGUAUCAUGCUGGUUUAGCUUUGAGUGAUGAUGGUCUUCUGGGGACAAGGCCUGUGAUGCGUCCAAGGGGUAUUGAUUUGAAAGAUGGGCCCCUAUUUGAUGCUCUUUGUGCAAAAGUCCAAGGAAAAAAUGUUGGUAUUCCUGUCUGUGAAGGGGCUGCAACGUCAAAAUCACCUUGGAAUGCACAUGAACUUUUUGAUCUUUCUCUUCUUGAGGGUGAAUCUCUUAGGGAAUGGUUAUUCUUUGACAGACCAAGAAGGGCAUUUGAGAGCGGCAACCGCAAGCAAAGGUCGUUGCCAGAUUACAACGGCCGUGGAUGGCAUGAAUCAAGGAAGCAAGUGAUGAAGGACUUUGGGGGCCUGAAGAAAUCCUAUUACAUGGACCCACAACCAUCCAGCAACUAUGAGUGGCACCUUUUCGAAUAUGAGAUCAAUGAUUCUAACACUCUAGCCUUGUACCGGCUUGAGUUCAAGGCAUCUGAUCCUAAAAGGAGUGUUAAAUCAAAACUGGGCAGCAGUUCACUCAACGAAAUCCAGCAGCAAAUGGUCAAGCUUAGUGCAAACAGUCCGGUGGACAACAAGCGGGGUGCUAGGAGCAAGACAAAGGCUAGUCAAAAGGACACCAAUGCGAAUGCAUAUCCAGCUCUCAAGGCCACCAAUCAAGCGGGUGCUUCAAAUGCUUAUGAAGCAGUGCCCCUCAACAUCCCCAAUCAGGCCAGUGCCCCCAGCGCUUACCAAACAGUGGCUCCCAACAUCCCCAAUCAGGACAGUACCUCGAAUGCCUAUGAAGAUGCAUCACAGGUGGACCCGAUGUCAUAUCUGAAUGAAAACGUUGUCUAUGGACCUCAUCUUCCAUAUGGUUACCCCGAUGGAAAAGGCGACUUCUACUGGAACCCCAGUGGCGGCGCCUGAAGAUGCAAUAUGCCAAGCUCAUGAGCUGUAAGGCGUCUCAAGACAGAUUGUAACAGUGUCAACUAAAAUUUGGGGCUCAGCACCGUGGCCCUGCAGUUUUUCGUAAGUGUAGACAUCUUGGAUAGAUACCAUGUUUGGUGUGCUGUACUUUGACUGUAAAAUAUAGUCCGGUUCUUGCCUGUCGAGCUAAGAUAGAGGAUCUAGGUAUCUGCUUCUUCAGAAGCUGAUGCGGUUGGACCCUAGCAGCGGAGGAUUCGCAAAUUCAGUUGGGCUCUGUUUUUCUUCUUCUUUCCCUUAGAUGUGUAUAUAUCCUGAGAAUGGUCGAGGAUUCGUAUGAUUCGCGGAAUCCCAGAUUCACUUGCGUUUCACAUGCAAGAUUU
rnacentral:rRNA from 1 species